rnacentral:rRNA from 1 species
AAGCUCGUAGUUGAAUUUCGGGAUCAAUUUAUUGGUCGUGCAAUAGUACGUACUGGUAUUAUUGAUUCCUACCUUCUGACGAACCAUGAUGUCAUUAAUUUGGUGUCAUGGGGAGUCAGGACUGUUACUUUGAAAAAAUUAGAGUGUUUAAAGCAGGCUCACGCUUGAAUACAUUAGCAUGGAAUAACGAAAUAGGACGUUUGAUUUUAUUUUGUUGGUUUCUAGGAUCGACGUAAUGAUUAAUAGGGAUAGUUGGG